UACGGAGGGUGCAAACGUUGCUCGGAAUUAUUGGGCGUAAAGCGCACGUAGGCGGCUCGGUAAGUCGGAUGUGAAAUCCCUCGGCUCAACCGAGGAAGUGCAUCCGAAACUGGCGAGCUUGAGUACGGAAGAGGGUCUCGGAAUUCCCGGUGUAGAGGUGAAAUUCGUAGAUAUCGGGAGGAACACCAGUGGCGAAGGCGGAGACCUGGGCCGAUACUGACGCUGAGGUGCGAAAGCUAGGGGAGCAAACGGG
rnacentral:rRNA from 1 species